rnacentral:sRNA from 1 species
CGGCGGACCUGUGAGGGGAUCCGACUUGCCGGCAGAACUUAGGCUGCGGGACCCCGGGCACUGUUGCUGCUGCGGGAGUCUACCUCGAGACCUAUGGCUGCCAGAUGAAUGUGAAUGACACAGAGAUAGCCUGGUCCAUCUUACAGAAGAGUGGCUACCUGCGAACCAGUAACCUCCAGGAGGCAGAUGUGAUUCUCCUUGUCACGUGCUCUGUCAGGGAGAAGGCUGAGCAGACCAUCUGGAACCGUUUACAUCAGCUUAAAGCCUUGAAGACAAGGCGGCCCCGCUCCCGGGUUCCUCUGAGGAUUGGAAUUCUAGGCUGCAUGGCUGAGAGGUUGAAGGAGGAGAUUCUCAACAGAGAGAAAAUGGUAGAUAUUUUGGCUGGUCCUGACGCCUACCGGGACCUUCCCCGGCUGCUGGCUGUUGCUGAGUCGGGUCAGCAAGCUGCCAACGUGCUGCUCUCUCUGGACGAGACCUAUGCUGAUGUCAUGCCAGUCCAGACAAGCGCCAGUGCCACGUCUGCCUUUGUGUCGAUCAUGCGAGGCUGUGACAACAUGUGUAGCUACUGCAUUGUUCCUUUCACCCGGGGCAGGGAGAGGAGUCGGCCUAUUGCCUCCAUUCUAGAGGAAGUGAAGAAGCUUUCUGAGCAGGGGCUGAAAGAAGUGACACUUCUUGGUCAGAAUGUUAAUAGUUUUUGGGACAAUUCAGAGGUCCAGUUCAACAAUGCAGUACCUACCAAUCUCAGUCGUGGCUUUACCACCAACUAUAAAACCAAGCAAGGAGGACUUCGUUUUGCUCAUCUUCUGGAUCAGGUCUCCAGAGUAGAUCCUGAAAUGAGGAUCCGCUUUACCUCUCCCCACCCCAAGGAUUUUCCCGAUGAGGUUCUGCAGCUGAUUCAUGAGAGAGAUAACAUCUGUAAACAGAUCCACCUGCCAGCCCAGAGUGGAAGCAGCCGUGUGUUGGAGGCCAUGCGGAGGGG